UACGUAGGGGGCAAGCGUUGUCCGGAAUCAUUGGGCGUAAAGAGCGUGUAGGCGGCCCGGUAAGUCCGCUGUGAAAGUCCAGGGCUCAACCCUGGGAUGCCGGUCGAUACUGCCGGACUAGAGUUCGGAAGAGGCGAGUGGAAUUCCCGGUGUAGCGGUGAAAUGCGCAGAUAUCGGGAGGAACACCGAUGGCGAAGGCAGCCUCCUGGGCCAACACUGACGCUCAUGCACGAAAGCGUGGGGAGCAAACAGG
rnacentral:rRNA from 1 species